ACAAACGAAGAAAAUCAACGUUUUCAUACCCAACUAAAUCCAAAACACAUCUCUCAAAGUCAUCAGUUUUCUUUUCCACCGGAGGAUUCAUUGGUUAUGUAUAAAAUACAUCUUUUCUCGAUUUGUAUACAUUGUUUCUUUGACGACAUACCUGUUCGGAUCUUAGUGGCCUGCUUCUAUAAAUCCCUCGCACAAGAAGCACCAUCGCACUCCUCACAAAUUAAAGGCGCACCCACUUCGAUAGCUCAUGGCCCUCCUCCUUGCAACCUUCCGGCUUUAUAUUUCCUUGUUCAUUUACCUCGCUGUCGCCGUCUUCCGUUUUAAUGUCGCCUUUAGUUUUUUUGUUUUUUCUUGAUCCCCCUUUGGUGCUUGGUGUGCAGCCUUGCAGUGAGGGUUGGUCGCAAAGUUUUUUCUUAUAGUUCUACAAAUUAACAAAGAUCCGGAUCGGGCACAGACAAACCCUAAUAAUGAAACUCCAAAGGAAUGAGUGAUUAAUCGUUUCUACUGUACAUGUUUUUUUUUGUUUUCCUUCUUUCUUUAUUGCUAUUUUCAAACGCAGGGAAAGGAGAUCCAGGAGCUGAAGCAACCCUAGAAGCGAAAGAAGAGAGGGACACGGAUUUGACACAAGGAAGGCUUUGUUUCUCAUCAGGAGCCUUGACGGGGACGUGUGGAGUAGGGUAUGUGUCAGCGCCAGGUUUGGCAAGCCGGCCAUCUUUUCUCUGCAGGAGGAGCAGCAGAAUGUGAGCUGGAAACAAUGAGUGCAUGUGGGAGUGUGAUUAUAUUGAGGGGACGCGGAGUGGGGUAAGCCGGUCUCUGUCGGUCGUCCCAACCGAUGCAGGCGGCCGUCCGGCCAGACCCGGGGUUUCCGGGCGGCGGGUCGCCGGUAAUGGGGUGUCGAAACGGCUUCUGAGCUCAUCGAUGACGCGACGGGCGUGGCAGAUGUGCUGAUGCUCGUCGGCGUGUGCGGGUUUGGCAAGGAUUCAAGGCAGCGAGGCCUCGCCGUGUGCUUCACGUCGCCGUGCGUAGUGGUUCUUCACUCCCUAUUUUUUUUUCUUCUUUUAUUUCAUGAAUUUUAAUUGUUUUUUAGGGGGCAUUGUGAUACUAAUUGUGGUUUGCUGUUUUUUUUAGAAUAUUACUUCUUUCGUAUAAAAAAAUAUAUAUAUGCUAAGUGAUCUGCAAA